rnacentral:rRNA from 1 species
GACGAACGCUGGCGGCGUGCUUAACACAUGCAAGUCGAACGGAAAGGCCCUGCUUUUGUGGGCUGCUCGAGUGGCGAACGCGUGAGUAACACGUGAGUAACCUGCCCUUCACUUUCGUAUAACUUCAGGAAACUGGAGCUACUACCGUAUAGGAUCUCCUGCUCCGUGGUGAGGGUUGGAAAUUUUCGGCGGUUGGGGAUGGACUCGCGGCUUAUCAGCUGGUUGGUGGGGUAGUGGCUUACCAAGGCUUUGACGGGUAGCCGGCCUGAGAGGGUGACCGGCGACAUGGGGACUGAGAGAGGGCCCAGAGUCCUAUGGGAGGCAGCAGGGGGGAAUAUUGCACAAUGGGAGGAAGUCUGAUGCAGAAACGCCGCGGGUGGGAUGACGGCCUGCGGGUUGAAAAACGCUUUAGCCUGUGACGAAGCGUGAGUGACGGUAAUGGGUAAAGAAGCACCGGCUAACUACGUG